ACUCUUCUGGUUUAAGUAUGGAAACCAAACUUGCUAACAGUAAUAAGCUUACUGUUCUCUCACCGUUUUGUAAAAAAUCUAGAGAGAUGCAUAGGUAGAAAAGACAAAUACCCAUCAUUUUGCAAUUUAUUCAUAUAAUGCCUAAAGGUCCAGUGAGGGAAAUCAGACCUUAAAUCUUCAGACAAACCCGUUUUCCCAUUAUUUUCUUUUAGAAUUGAUCUUUCAAAGGAAAGGAAGAAUUAACGGCACCUGCUUGUUUUAGAGCCCCCAAGCCCUGCAGUAGCUAACUUUCUAAGGGUUUCCUUUCUGAACUGAAGUCCUACUGCUUUUUUCUCAUAUGCUUCAUUAUGAGACACCAGGAAUUACUCUGGAGCACAGGCCAGCUUUGUCUAGGACUGAUGAGCUUUUCAUAAGAAAGGAGGUGGCAAAACUUCCUCCAGAGAAGGUAUCCAGCUAUUCCAAUGAGAACAAAUAGAAGGAUCCCUCCUAUUACACCUCCAGCAACAGCAACUGCUUGUUCUGUUCAAACAUAGAAGCACAGAAAGCAUCAUAGGAAGAUCAAAGUUAUGUAUGUUUUGGGGUAGAUAGGAAUAUUAAAGCUGACAAAUGUAUUUCAUUUGCGUACCAAAAUGAUUUUAAAAUGAAACAUUUGGCUCAUGUGCACAUUUUUGUCCUUGGUUACAGCAUGAUGCAGCACCUGAAGAUGUAUGGCACCAGCAGUGAGAGAUUAGAAAGUAUUCAGACAUGCUGGCAAUGACUGCAAUGUAAGACACUAUAGACAGGAAAAAAACAAAACUCAAGGAGUUCUUUGGGCUUUAAUUUUAUGUUAGCAUAAACGUUUACCUUGGUAUGACAGACGUGCUAGAGCUUUCAUAACAGAAGGAAAAGAAAAACCAGGAUCACCCAAUACAAAAGGUCCCAUUAUUUUUGUUUGGUUUGUUCUUCCACCUAUUCGUCUACGUUGAACUGAGACCAGAUCCUGGCACAAGGAACAAAGCAGAGCUGGGUGGUUUUCUUUCUGAGGAUGCAUGUGUUUCCUGAUCUCUAAGGCCAAACUUCAGUAUGCAUUAAAAACUGUUUCCUGAAUCUCGAUUACUUCAGAUAAAACUGAAUCUUGUAUAAUUUGGAUUGUGGUUUUUCCACACUAAUAAAAUUGAAAAUGUCUUUAAUAUGAA